UCUAAUCCUCAAGCAACUUCCGUUAUCUUGCUUGUUAGCUUGAACUGUCACUGCAUCUUCAAGUGCCAGUGACUGCAAUAACACUUCCAUGCUAAAAACAUUCAAACCCAAAGAUUAAACAAUAGAAAGAAGAUUGAAUAAAAUAACAUUUAACUUAAAAAUCAUGUGUACUUCUGUACUAACAUGAAAUAACAAGUAAUCA
rnacentral:lncRNA from 1 species